rnacentral:rRNA from 1 species
AUUGAACGCUGGCGGCAUGCCUUACACAUGCAAGUCGAACGGUAACGGGCCUUCGGGUGCCGACGAGUGGCGAACGGGUGAGUAAUACAUCGGAACGUGCCCGAUCGUGGGGGAUAACGAGGCGAAAGCUUUGCUAAUACCGCAUACGAUCUACGGAUGAAAGCAGGGGACCGCAAGGCCUUGCGCGGACGGAGCGGCCGAUGGCAGAUUAGGUAGUUGGUGGGAUAAAAGCUUACCACGCCGACGAUCUGUAGCUGGUCUGAGAGGAUGAUCAGCCACACUGGGACUGAGACACGGCCCAGACUCCUACGGGAGGCAGCAGUGGGGAAUUUUGGACAAUGGGCGCAAGCCUGAUCCAGCCAUGCCGCGUGCAGGAUGAAGGCCUUCGGGUUGUAAACUGCUUUUGUACGGAACGAAAAGCCUUCUUUUAAUACAGGAGGGUCAUGACGGUACCGUAAGAAUAAGCACCGGCUAACUACGUG